CCUUGCCAGGGCCUGGACGACUCUGAGAACUCAACGAGGCGCUGGAGCAAACAAGACUUGUCUAAAGCGACCCUCAUAGCCUGGGUGAUCUUUUCAGUAGCACUUAGGGAAUUUAUAUUGAAACUUCUGGCAUGUUCCAAGGGUGUGAGAUCUUCCUCUUUCUCCAAAAGUGGCACAGUGUGAAAUGUCUGUAGUUGGCUGGAAUAAAGCAAGAGCCACAGGUCUGUUUGGUUGGGGGCCGGACCUCCUGAAUCUCAGCCUCCCGAACCCUGCUCCCGAUUCACCGUCUCCAGCCCUUCUCCCCUCCCAUCAACUUCCUAGACUCAGAUCACAGACCUCAGCACUCGGCUCAGAGACACUGAAAGGCUCACCGCUGCCCUUGAGAAGACAGGCGACUGUGAGUGUGAGCCUCAGCAUCCCUCCUGGCCCUACGCUACGUCCAGCCUUACCUCCUCACCGCUCAUUGUGGGCCCUCUGUUCUUGCACUGUCAGGCUACUGGAGUUCUCGCAACGUGGCACAGACAGAAUCGUGACUCCCGUCAGGAUGAUCCUGGGGCUGACUCAUUUGCCUGAGGAUUUCCAAAGCUGCUCAUUCCAGCACCAUCAAGAUGGAAGCCCCUGAGGCUGACUAGCACCCCCAGCGUGUCCGUGAGGUCACCAUUUCCAGUCAGACCCAGAGACAAGAAGCAUAUACACAUCUGCUUUCUGGUAGCCAG